ensembl:lncRNA
GCUAGCUACAGUGGUAUCUUCAACCUAGCCUCGCUUUUAGCUAGCUGCUCUGCAGUGCAAGCUAGCUUGACUUGCUAUAAAGUUAGAAGCAAGUUGAGGAAAAAGUAACAGAACAUGUUUUAUCACCCCCCAAAACAACUAAUAUAUAUUUCUAUACAAAAAUACAUGAAAUAAAUAUUUAAAAAAUGGGGCUUCAGACCAAAUUCUUCCAGGCGUAGCAUAGCGUUGGCCAGAGCAAGGAGUCUGAGUAGCCAGGCAAAUGUGCACCCACUUAUAUCCGUGCAUUCAAUAACAUCCUAAUCAUUACUACAUUUCUAUUAGAUCGAAUGAGCCUCAUGUAGCAAAUUAGCAAUACAUUUUUUUGUUGUCGACCAAAUUUGACACGCGAUUGGCUUUCCAUUCAAAAACUUACCAUAUCAUGGGCUUAUUUUCAUGGACAACUUUUGGGCGGAAUAAAACCUCUUGCUUUGCCUCUUCCUCUCUGACAUUAUGUUGCAGAAUGCCUGCUUAAUCUGGAAGCCAGCCACUCCACUGUGUCAGAGGAAACACCGUACACCUGGCGAAUGUGUCAGCGUGCAUGCACCUGGCCCGCUAGAGCAUGAUGGGACAAGGACAUCCCUGCGGGCCAAAACCCUCCCCUAACCUGGACAACGCUGGGCCAAUUGUGUGCCGCCCCAUGGGUCUCCCGGUCGCGGUCUUGUGGCACAGCUAGCAACUGCGAUGCACUAAUAUGAGGAAAUAUAUUUUCGUAUAUAAACUGACGGCCAAAUUAUGACACAAAUCAUUUGAACUGCGAGGCUGGUAACUCUAAUGAACUUAUCCUCUGCAGCAGAGGUAACUCUGGGUCUUCCUUUCCUGUGGUGGUCCUCAUGACAGCCAGGUAACUCUAAUGAACGUGUCCUCUGCAGCAGAGGUAACUCUGGGUCUUCCUUUCCUGUGGUGGUCCUCAUGACAGCCAGGUAACUCUAAUGAACGUGUCCUCUGCAGCAGAGGUAACUCUGGGUCUUCCUUUCCUGUGGUGGUCCUCAUGACAGCCAGGUAACUCUAAUGAACGUGUCCUCUGCAGCAGAGGUAACUCUGGGUCUUCCUUUCCUGUGGUGGUCCUCAUGAGAGCCAGGUAACUCUAAUGAACGUGUCCUCUGCAGCAGAGGUAACUCUGGGUCUUCCUGUCCUGUGGUGGUCCUCAUGAGAGCCAGGUAACUCUAAUGAACGUGUCCUCUGCAGCAGAGGUAACUCUGGGUCUUCCUUUCAUAGUGCUUGACGUUUUUUGCAAUUGCACAUGAAGAAACCUUUAAAAAGUUCUUGAAAUUUUCCAGAUUGACUGACCUUCAUGUCUUAAAGUAGUGAUGGAUUGUCGUAUCUCUUUGCUUAUUUGAGCUCUUCUUGCCAUAAUGUAGACUUGAGCUGUGUUUGAAUACCCAUUCUAACAUAGUGUAUACUACAUAUUUAAUGAGUAUAUACUACAUACUAUUAGUUCAUUUUAGUAUACUGGAAACGAAUGGUAUCCUUUCAGUUGAGCUACGCCUGUCUACCGGAAAGUUGAUGCUUUCGCUAUGCAACCGCUUGUUAUUUUAACAAAUUGCUAGCUAAACAUUUUACGAUUUCGGGUUUGUUCGUAAAUUCAGACUCUCGGAGCGUUCAGAGCGCACACUGGACUGGCGGAGGAGCUACGGUUGAUCCGAGGGUUCAACCGGCAGUCAAGCACUGGCUAACGUUGGCUAGUUAUUCCAGACACAUCAUGAGAGAACACCUCACUCUGACCAUUUUACUCCCCCAAUCAGAGCUGGUUAGGUUGUUUGUGUUAUCCAGAGCGUUGGUGACUAAAUGUGCUGCUGGCAACAAUUUAAUUACGCUUUUUUUUUGCUGAUGUUUACUGACACCGGCCAUAUUCAACAGGUGUUGAAUGUUUGUAAAUUCAUCAGUUAUUCUGCGGGAGAAAUCAGAGUAGAUAGCUAAGUGGUAAAGUUGUACGAUUCAAUGGCUAAUGAUGUCAAUAAACGUUGUUGGGUAGUUUAGUUAAUAUACUGCCUGGCAUGUUCGAUGUAUUAGUAGCUAGCUAACAUACCGGUACAUACUGCUGUAAUGCUAAUGCGGUUCGUAAGGACAGCAUAGCUAACAAAUUGUCAGCCAACAUAACGUGUAACGUAUUUGAAAAGGCAUUACUUUAUUACAUAUUUCAAUUUUCUUAACAUAUGUUUAUAAGCAAUGAAUUUGUG